CCAUCGCGCCGCCGCCAGCAUCUCCCACCUCGGGAUCCUCCCGAUCCAAAUCCACCCACUCUCCCUCGUUUUCCCCAACCAGCCUACCGUAGCCCGCAGUCGUCCUCGAUCCAGAUCGAGGUGAGCCAUCCCCGAGUUCCCGUGCCUCCCGUUCGUCUUCCCCGAAGACCACCAGAGCCCGAGUCCUCGCAGCCGCCUUCCGUCCCUCACCACCAAGCAGAGCUCCGGCAAGCCCUCGUUACACUUCGGCCAAGAGGUCCGCCAUCUUCUUGUCGGUGCUCCAGCGUCGUCGGAGUCCCGCACAAGCCGCCAAGUUCAUGUCGCUUUUGCUUCCCGGGAGCGGGCCUCAACGAGUAUCCCCCCGUGCUCCCUCUGCCCUGCACUGAGCUCCAUCCGCCACUGCACCCUCUCGCCGUCGUCUUCUUCCGGCGCGCCACCAACGCCGGGUCCGGCCUCUGCCUUGAGCAGAGGAGGAGGACGCUCGCGUCUCGCCGCCCUAGUCACCUGCCAGCUCGAGUCGCCUCUGCUUCAUCCUUGCCGCCCGCUUGUGCUUCGCUCCUGCCGCGGCCCUGCUCUGAUUGUUGCUGUCUCCGUCAGAUCCAACGAGUCCCUGCUCUAGAUCGACCGCCAAGCUGAGGCCUUCCUGACCACUGGACGCCCAUAUCCGCUGCCCAUCGCUGGUCUUUGCGCCGUCGCCGACCUCCCCUGAUUUUGCUUCGAGCAGGAGAGAACGCUUGCAGCGCCGCCCCGCCUUCGUUGACUGCGAACCUCGUCAGCGCCUCCUUGCCUCGCUCGUGGACUGGCCUCCAGGCCUCUGCUUCUUCUGCGUAGACCACACCUCCCCCACCUACCCGUUCAAUCCAACUGCGAGCUGGCCUCCUCUGCCCGUGGGCUGCACAAGUAGGCCGGCCCAGCGUGCCCCUGCCGGCCUCCCACUCCACCAAACAGGGUCGAGCCCAUGGUGAGUCCACCACCAGCGCCUCCUUUUUUUCUGUUUUGUUGGACCUCUGCUCAGUGUCGGCCCAUGUAGUGUUUUUUCCGUGCUGCUAGGUUUUUGCUAUUUAUCCAGAGUUGGCCAAUUUUACAAAAAAAAAAACUUGGACUUCAUGCAUACUAUA